rnacentral:rRNA from 1 species
CUCUUCUUGUUUUUAUUAAAUAUGAGGUAUGACCUGCCCAAUGAAAAAUUUUAAUGGCCGCGGUAUUUUGACCGUGCAAAGGUAGCAUAAUCAUUAGUCUUUUAAUUGGAGGCUGGAAUGAAUGGUUGGACGAAAUAAAGUCUGUCUUUAUACAAUAUUUUUUGAAUUUAAUUAUUUGGUUAAAAAGCUAAAAUGAGGUUUAUGGGACGAGAAGACCCUAUAGAGUUUGUAUAUUUUCUUUUAUUUGUUAUGUUUGUAAAUAUUAUUUUUAUUUGAAAGUAUUUAGUUGGGGUGAUUGUAAGAUAAGUAAAACUCUUUCUAUCUUUUUAUAUUGAUUAAUAGUUUAUUGAUCCUUUUUUAUGAUUAAAAGACUAAAUUACC